rnacentral:rRNA from 1 species
CGGCGGACGGGUGAGUAACGCGUGGGUAACCUGCCUCAUACAGGGGGAUAACAGUUGGAAACGGCUGCUAAUACCGCAUAAGCGCACAGUACCGCAUGGUACGGUGUGAAAAAACUCCGGUGGUAUGAGAUGGACCCGCGUCUGGUUAGGUAGUUGGUGGGGUAACGGCCUACCAAGCCGACGAUCAGUAGCCGACCUGAGAGGGUGACCGGCCACAUUGGGACUGAGACACGGCCCAA